AUGUGUAUGUGGGUGUGCAUAUAUGUAUAUUAUAUAUAUAGACACACACAUAUACAUA
rnacentral:miRNA from 1 species